GACGAACGCUGGCGGCGUGCUUAACACAUGCAAGUCGAACGAUGAAGCCCAGCUUGCUGGGUGGAAGAGUGGCGAACGGGUGAGUAACACGUGAGUAACCUGCCCUGAACUCUGGGAUAAGCACUGGAAACGGUGUCUAAUACUGGAUACGCCCUAUCACCGCAUGGUGUGUGGGUGGCAAGAUUAGUCGGUUCUGGAUGGACUCGCGGCCUAUCAGCUAGAUGGGGGGGUAAUGGCUCACCAUGGCGACGAGGGGCAGCCGGCCUGGGAGGGUGACCGGCCACACGGGGACUGAGACACGGCCCAGACGCCAACGGGGGGCAGCGGGGGGGAGUAUUACACAGUGGGGGCAGGCCUGAUGCAGCAGCGCCGGGUGGGGAAUGACGGCCUUCGGGUUGUAAACGUCUUUUAGUAGGGAAGAAGCGAAAGUGACGGUACCUGCAGAAGAAGCACCGGCUAACUACGUG
rnacentral:rRNA from 1 species